CUGGGCUUCCCAGAACGCGACACCGCCUUGGGGCCUGAGACCCUGGGAGGCAGGCCCAGGGACCUGGGGCUUUGCUCCUAGGCCUCAUCUACUGCACAGAGGGCUCCUUGUCACGCUGUCUCCCUGAGUCGUGGCCUAGGAGCUGUGUGAGUCAUUGAUUCUCCAAUAGUUUGUUCUCAGGAUAUCUAUACAGUCUUACAAAUUAGUGAGGAUCCCAGGGAUAAGUUUGUGUCUGUGGGUAUAUCUAUCAAUAUUUACCAUAGUAGGAAUAAAACAGGUUUAAAUAUUUUUAAAUUCAUUUGUAAUCAUAUGAAAACUGAAAUAUGGUUUUGAUUAAAAAUAACAAUUUUCCCAAAUAAAAGGGGCAGUGAGAACACUGGUUUUGUUUCAUUUUCCAGUUUGCAAUCUCUUUCUUGUCUGUCUGUUAGUAGACCACUAGACGUUAAGAUUUGCCUCUGCAUCUAUUGUGUUGUUUUGGUUGAAGUAUAUGAAAAAAAUUUACAUCCUUGACCAUAGGAGGAUACUAUGUAUCAUAACCUUUUCAGAUAAUUAUGGAUAUUCAUCUUUGAUAUUAUGUUAAAACUACACAAGUUGUACCUCCUCUGAGGUUAUUUGCAAACUGGAUCUUGAAACAGCAUCAUUGACUGUCUCCUGUGUUACAUUCAAUCCAUAGGCCCAUCUACAUAUGGAAUGGAUGUGUACUAAUGCAUGAUUGUUGCAUUAGUGGCUCAUGUCCCACAGGAGAAUAAUAUGGCCCAGUGGUGGCAUCAGCCAGCUUCUAACCACACUGAGGCCCAGCUGUCAUUGUCAGAUCAGUUCCUGAUGUGCGGGCUGCUGUUUUUUCUGUCUUCAAUUCCAUUUUUUAAAAUAGUUAUGUUUUAAAAAUAAUUGGUGUUUUUGGGAGCCUGGGUGGCUCAGUUGGUUAAGUGUCUGACUCUUGAUCUCAUGGUUUAUGAGAUGGAGCCCUGUGUCAGGCUCCGCAUUGACAGGGUGGAGUCUGCUUGGGAUUCUCUCUGUCUCUGCCUCUCCCCUGCUCAUACUCACUCUAUCCUUCUCUGUCUCAUUAUAAAUAAAUAAACUUAAAAAAAUUUUUUUAAUAUAUAUUUUUUAACGUUUAUUUAUUUUUGAGACAGAGAGAGACAGAGCAUGAAUGGAGGAGGGUCAGAGAGAGAGGGAGACACAGAAUCUGAAACAGGCUCCAGGCUCUGAGCUGUCAGCACAGAGCCCGAUGUGGGGCUCGAACUCACGGACUGCGAGAUCAUGACCUGAACUGAAGUCGGACGCUUAACUGACUGAGCCAGCCAGGUGCCCCAAUAAAUAAAUAAACUUUUAAAACCAUCUGGAAGGACUUUUAAAUUCUUAAAAAUCCCAAUAUACAUUGGCCUGUUAGGGUUCUUAAGUGUUUAUUUCUUCUUGUAUCACUCCCUAAGGAGAAGCAUUCUCUCAGCUUACCGACUGUGUAACUUAUUCACACUAAAACUACUCCCAGAUUUAGGGUAGGUCUUAGCUUUAAUGUUUUAUAAGGAGGAAUAUUGGUCAUGGUCUUUCCAGACCCUACUUCCAAUAUUUAUCCUUUUGUCAUGGAGUACCUCCUUCCUGUCUCCUAACAUGUCUGCCAAAUUUGGUUACUGUUCUCUGUAUCUCCUCAGAGGCCGAUCUACUCAGGAAAAUCAGAACCAGAUGAGAGAAAGGAAAGGCAGAGAUUUUUGUGAAGUCUGUGCAGUGUUACAUGGCCCUGGCCCAACUCCCGGUGGAGCAGAACUUCCCAGCCAUUGCUAUCCACUGUGGGACAUCCUGGGAGGAGAGGUGAGUCAGAGAUGGAAAGAUGUUUUGUGUCCUUGGGAUGACAUGAGACCCCUGAGAGAAAGGACUGUGAACAUUUUUCUAAUUUUCAUUCUGACAAAGCCUUUCUUGGUGUCCAUAGUUCAAGACCUUUCAUGAUGAAUUCUUGUGGCCACCAACCUUAUUUGGCCGAGGCAUGGACAUUGAGCAGGUAAACACUGCCAUCAACUGCCACCUGCCUGAGGAAUCCCACACCUACCUGGAUCAGGAGGCCUGAGCAGGCCAGUUCGCCCAAGGGCUUGGCCAUUACAUUUGUGUCAAGUGAAAACAAUGCCAAGAUCCUCAAUGAGGUGCAGGGUCACAUUGAGGUCAGUCGUAGUGAGCUGCCUGAUGAGAUGGAUAUUUCCUCCUCCCAUGAGUAUCGAUCUCAUGAAACUGGUUCCUCCAAGUCUUCAGAGUCUCCUCAUUCCUCAGUGACUUUGUCUUGAAACAAAGUGCAGGCAGUGGUGCCUGAUGCCUAAUGGGUGCCUGACAAGUUUAUGCCCUGAUCUUGAUGCCAUGUUGGGAUAUUUUGUUUAUUUCUAUGUGGGAUCUCUUUCCUCUCUCGUCCAAUUAAUUUUCUUUUUUGCACCUCAGUCUUUCCCCUGACCCCACACCCCACAUGAACAUCUGCAUGUAUAGGGGUCUGUGUUUCUGCCGGUCUAACUUAGCCUUUCCAUGCCUUAUUGUAACUGUUCUCUGCAGUUGCAGCCAUGGGAGAGGACGCACCCAUUCGAAGAGACUGAUGGAGGUCUCACACCCACAAACCAUGAGAUCAUGCAUGACCUCAGCUGAAAUCAAGAGUCGGAUGCCCACCCGACUGACCCACCCAGGCACUCCUAGAGUUUAUUCUUCCUAAUUAAUUUCUUUUUAAAGAUAUUUUAAAUUUGAAUAUAGUUGACACACAAGA